GACGAACGCUGGCGGCGUGCUUAACACAUGCAAGUCGAACGAAGAGCGAUGGAAGCUUGCUUCUAUCAAUCUUAGUGGCGAACGGGUGAGUAACGCGUAAUCAACCUGCCCUUCAGAGGGGGACAACAGUUGGAAACGACUGCUAAUACCGCAUACGAUCUAAUCUCGGCAUCGAGGAUAGAUGAAAGGUGGCCUCUACAUGUAAGCUAUCACUGAAGGAGGGGAUUGCGUCUGAUUAGCUAGUUGGAGGGGUAACGGCCCACCAAGGCGAUGAUCAGUAGCCGGUCUGAGAGGAUGAACGGCCACAUUGGGACUGAGACACGGCCCAGACUCCUACGGGAGGCAGCAGUGGGGAAUCUUCCGCAAUGGACGAAAGUCUGACGGAGCAACGCCGCGUGAGUGAUGACGGCCUUCGGGUUGUAAAGCUCUGUUAAUCGGGACGAAAGGCCUUCCUGCGAAC
rnacentral:rRNA from 1 species